CAUGUUUAACUAUGGAAUUCUAAAGGGAUCAGAGUAUUAGUGCUAAUAUGAUCACACAAUUGCACCCAUCAGUUCUCCUCCACUCUUUAGGUUCAAAUAAAGUUACGCACAAUAUUACAUUCCUAUGGAUUUUAAUAAAAAAGGAUACUAACAGACACAUAUACAUGCAAUUAAUUAAUGGAGUUAUCAAUCCCUCUACCCUUUGUGCAAGGGAUUUUCUCAUCUAAUCUCUACAGUCUUACAAGUUCCAAUCUAUGUCAAGAUGUGUUUUAUUGUUCAGCCACAUGAUUUGGUGAUGAAGCUGCUGCUACGGCUUCUUUCAUCUCUUCUUUUGGAGUCGAUACACACUUCUCGUUAUCUUUUUCCAUUAACUCCUCGGUUUCCAUCAUUUUACUUGCAAAGUAUAAAUCUAAUAGAGAAGAAAAAAAUAACUAAAUAGAUUUAUCAUUAACAAAAUAUUGUAUUAGCUGAUUAACAGGAGAAACAUAGAAGCAGAAAGCAACCUAGCAAAUUUGCUAUCUCGUAGAAACUAUAAAGGAGUUCAUCAUACUUCUUUAAAUUUCCGUAGAUUCAUCAAAAAUAGCUCCAGCAGAGUCACUUUUUCUACGAAUAGAUUUCAUUAUGGGUAUAAAGUAUACUAAUCAUUGGAGAUGUUGGGUGAUUAUUUGAUGAGAUGAUUUAACCAUAUUUCUUUUAUAACGUGUACUAUUUGAUAAGAUAACUCAUCACAAUGAGACAAAGUUGGCAAGCAAGAUAACUACGGGCUCCAUGCAUACCAACAAAGAAUCACCAGAAUCCAACAUUAAAACCAUUGAAACAAAUUUAGCAAUAUACUCAGCCGUGACUAGAGGAAUCCCACUAUCAAGAUUGAGUCAUCAUGAUUAAUUGAGUAUUAUUUACUAACGGCUAGAAUAUCUCUAGCCAACUGUUAUUAUAUAUAUUAGGAAAGCAUUCUUUUAAUAAGCCACAAAUUUAUCUCUGUAAUGGCUAGUCAAAGUUGUAUAUAUAUGAGUCAUAUUCUUGUAAUUCAAAAUAUAAGAAAGAAUAAUAUAUUCUUCUGUCCUUUCAAUAUUAAUCUUUACUAUUAUGGUUGAGGAGGGUUGAUUAAUGAAGCUGGUUGAAUAUUGGGUUAUUUUGAGAGUGCUUAUUCUACAAAUUUGCAAGUUGGAAAUGUCAAUAAUAUAGGGGAAACUCUGCCUAAUUUAUGCAAGACCCUUAUUAAUGAUUUUAUCUAGUCAUGUCAUGUGAAAUUAGAUAGACUGACGCUUGGAGUUCAGGGGAUUGUUUCAAUAUUUCAUUUGCCACCUUGAUAACUCAGUUUUCAUGUAUUCGUGUGUUUUCUUCGUAUUUUGCAGAAGACAAAAAUAGAGGAAGCUAACUAUUCUGCUAAAUAUAAUGAGCUUCAGAUCAUCAACACUGUGCCAUUAACUACGUGCCUCCCUCUAAUUAUCAAAAGCCAAGAAGGGAAGAAAAAUCUAGAAUUCCUUUCACAGAUGGCACAGAAAUUGGAUACCUGCUGGCUGGAUGUAUGAGCAAAGGGAAAGAACCAGUGUCAACUAAGUUAGAAACAUUGACCAGUUUGUUUCAACAUCUGAUAUCUUUUCAUCUAGCUAUUUGUUUUUUGUAGCUUUCAAAAUUAGGUCUGCUCUCAUACCAAAUUCUGCUCUCAUGUUGUUCAUAAAACUAGCAUUUUGAUCAGAAUUAAAAUAUUUGUUUAUAUGUAGUUUUUAUAUAUUUUGUGCUAUGAGUGUGUAAUAUUAGUAGUUGACAUUGAUUCUUUCUCUUUGCUCACACAUCUAGCCGUUUGGUAAUCAAAUUUAGUGUCAUCUAUCAUAUAAAUAUCUAACCUCUUUAAACUUCUUAGCUUUUAAUUUGGAAGAGGUGCCACUAUCAAAUGAAUGAGAUAAGAAUCACUUACGAGAUUUUUCUUAACCAAGGCUACUAUGAUAUGUAUAGAUGGUUUGAAUCAAUACCAUUACUUAUAUGAUCACGUAUGACAAUGAUCAACACCGUUAUGUGAUGCACAAAUAAUAGUGACAAAAACCAUUAUGCAUGCACAUAUGGCAUAAAUCAUCACCAUCAUGUGAUGCACAGAUAGCAAAGAUUAAGAAAGUUGCUGAUGCGAUUCAACAGUGCCCCGACAUAUGAAGCUCUUUAGAUGGAGAUUGACUUGUUAGCUUUCUCAAUUUUUGUCUUCUAUAAAAUUUGAAGAAAACACAUAAAUACGAGAAAACUGAGUAUCAAGGGAAUUUUAUUAAGUAUUGAAUGCGUCAUUUAUUUGGUGGGUUUGUGAAUGUUUGAGAAAAACAGUGAAAUCUAAUUCAUUUUCCCUCAUUCUACCUAGGUCCGCCAAAAAAAAAAAUGUAAGAAUAAAAGGUGAUUAUUUUUUUAAUGUCUUAUAUUAUAGACUGUAAGUAUUUGUGAAAAAAAUAGCAAAAACUGUCAUAUCUUACCUAAAAAUUCGAAAAAUAUAAGUCAUUGUCUAUUUAAAAAAACUAUAAAAGCUAUAUAUAAUUGUAGAGAGAGAAACAACAUACAAGAUCCUCUUCAAGGGCAUUCACUCCAUUCAUAUGUUGCUCUGGAUAGUUUUAAGAUCUGACAUGCCCCUGAAAAUUUUUUUUCAUGUGAUUGGUGAUUAAUAAAUUAAUAAAUAAAACAGUUAAAUCUUAGUCAUAUAUUAGCACUAAAAAGCACAAGAUCUUUAAAAGUUCAGGAAAUGAUCCUACUUUGAAGUGUUGCAAUGAACUAUUAUCAUUGAAUUAAUAUUCAAAAGCAAAAGAAGUAGAGACAAAUAGAUCAAGGGAUCACUUAAAUUACUUGAAGAUGAGUUGAAUCGAGAAUGAAAUUUGGAUCAAGAGAUAUUAUAUAAAGUCUCUUUCUCCAUCAAUUGUUCUCAUUCGUAAACUUUUACAAUUAAGUAGUAAAGUUGUUGAAUUAAAAAUUUGAAUUAAGCAAGACUAUUAUCAUAUCAGUGAUUGAAGCAAUCAAAUUUAUUGAUGGUCUUAGAGGAUAACUAAAAUAGCAAGCAUAUAAGCUAAAUUACCCGAUCCAUUUGUUGAGAAGCCAAUGGCGGCACUGAUUAUUUGAACCGUAUUCUAACCUAGAAAUUAUGAAAGAAAAAGAGAGAGACGGUCAUAGAGAAAGAUUGACGAAUAACAAAAUAUUUGCCAAGCAGAAUUUUAGUAGAUCUGGCGAAGUUCUAGUUUAAGAGGUAAGACUGCAACCUUUCUAGAAUCUUGGUCUUAGAUUCGAGCCUCAUUAAAAGGAAUGAGGUGAAAACAAAUGAGUCUCUUUAAAAAAAAUAAGAAAAAAAAGAUCAGGUAUACGCUUCAUGAUCAAGACAUCAAAUUUGUUGAUGAUCUUAGAGGAUCAAAGAAAAUGUAUAGAAAGGACACAAGCUAAAUUACCUCAUCCAUCUGUUGAGAGUCAACAUCGGCCUAUCUGAAUUGUCUAGCAUUACUAUGCUAACCCUAGAAAUAAGAAAAAGCAGGAGAGGGUUAAAAGAGAGACUGAAAGAGUGAGAGAGGAAAUGGUAGUGAGUAG
rnacentral:lncRNA from 1 species